rnacentral:tRNA from 1 species
GGCCACAUGGCCCAAUGGCAAGGCGCUUGACUACGAUUCCGUUAUCAAGAGAUUCCAGGUUCGACCCCUGGUGUGGUCA